AUGGAGUUUUACCUCAACACUCUGAUAGACCAGCAGUGCCUUCUGCAUGGGCUGCUGAUGCAGCAGUUGGCAUGGACAUGGGAGAAAAGAUUCAGAGGAUGGAAACUACAAACACUGGGACAUGAAAAAAAUACCACUAAAGCAGCUGAACAUGCUGACGGCAACCUCAAAAUGACUUUUUUGCCAGUUUUUGCUAAAUUACACAUCUUUCCAAAGACAUCCUACAUCAAUCAGCAUUCAGAUUCAACAAGUGCUUCCCAAGACUAAUAUGGGCCAAGACAACUGUCAGGCAUGCUCAUGUAUUUAGCACAUGUAACUCCCACUACAAACCUUUGGAGUAGGCUUGAUUCCCACAGUAACCCAGCUGAGAACUGGCUUUGCUUUCUUGCUUUGGAGUCAUAGCAUCUCGUAUAUGCCAAUUGACCUGUAUUAGACAAGGAUUUUGUUUUGCUUUGUUUUUCUUACUGCUUUUUAACCAUAAAACCCAGGCAGACAUAAGCAACGGUUCUCCACCUGGGGUGAUUUGACCCUAUUGUUUACCUCUUUUAUUUUUUUAUUGAAGUACAGUUAAGAUAUUAUAUGAGUUUUAGGUAUACAACAUAUUGAUUCAAUAUUUUUAUAGAUUAUACUUCAUUUAAAGCUAUUAUAGAAUAUUGGCUAUUUUCUCCAUGGCGAUAUGUCUUUGCAGCUCAUUUAUUUUAUAGUUAGUAGUUUGUACUUUUUUUUCACUAGCCACAUCCACAGCAUAUGCAAACUCCUGGGCCAGGGAUUGCAACCUAUACUGCAGCAGUGCUGAAUCCUUUCACCCACUGUGCCAGGCCUGGGGUCAAAUCCAUGUCUCCACAGCUGGAGCCACUGCAGUCAGAUUAUUAACCCAUUUUGCCACAGAGGGAACUCCAGUAGUUUGUAUUUUUAAACCCCUACUCCUAGCUUACCACCCCUCCAUCGCUUCCCUCUCAAUACUGAAUCACCAGUUCAUUCUCUAUAGUUGUGAAUCUGUUUGUAUUUUGCAAUGUUCAUUCAUUGUUUAUUUUUUAUAUUUUUAAGAUAUUGCUUUUAUUUUUUAUUUAAUUAGUUUAUUUUUAUUAUAAUUGAUUUAGAAUGUUCUAUCAAUUUCUGCUGUACAGCAAAGCGACCCAGUCAUACAUAUAUAUAUGUGUGUGUGUGUGUGUGUACACAUUCUUUUUCUCAUUCUUUUUAUCCUUGAGAAUAUGAUAUAAACUGAUUAGAACCAAGUAGGCCCAAGAUGGCAGAUCUAGUUCAGUGGAAUCCUAGAUCAAUGGAAGAGGAUAGAAAGCCCAGAAAUAAACCACAUAUUUAUGGUCA
rnacentral:lncRNA from 1 species